rnacentral:rRNA from 1 species
CCCUUAGAUGCUCUGGGCCGCACGCGCGCUACACUGAUGCAUUCAACGAGUUUUUCCUGGUCCGAGAGGAAUGGGUAACCUUUUGAAAGUGCAUCGUGCUAGGGAUAGACUAUUGCAAUUAUUGGUCUUCAACGAGGAAUUCCUAGUAGACGUAGUUCAUCAGACUGCAUCGAUUACGUCCCUGCCCUUUGUACACACCGCCCGUCGCUCCUACCGAUUGAGUGCUCAGGUGAAUAAUUCGGACUGCAGCAAUGUUUGGAUCCCGAACGUUGCAGCGGAAAGUUUAGUGAACCUUAUCACUUAGAGGAAGGAGAAGUCGUAACA